rnacentral:rRNA from 1 species
GACGAACGCUGGCGGCGUGCUUAACACAUGCAAGUCGAGCGAUGAAGCUCCUUCGGGAGUGGAUUAGCGGCGGACGGGUGAGUAACACGUGGGUAACCUGCCUCAUAGAGGGGAAUAGCCUUUCGAAAGGAAGAUUAAUACCGCAUAAGAUUGUAGUGCCGCAUGGCAUAGCAAUUAAAGGAGUAAUCCGCUAUGAGAUGGACCCGCGUCGCAUUAGCUAGUUGGUGAGGUAACGGCUCACCGAGGCGACGAUGCGUAGCCGACCUGAGAGGGUGAUCGGGCACAUUGGGACUGAGACACGGCCCAGACUCCUACGGGAGGCAGCAGUGGGGAAUAUUGCACAAUGGGGGAAACCCUGAUGCAGCAACGCCGCGUGAGUGAUGACGGUCUUCGGAUUGUAAAACUCUGUCUUCAGGGACGAUAAUGACGGUACCCGAGGAGGAAGCCACGGCUAACUACGUGCCAGCCGCCGCGGUAA